UACAGAGGGUGCGAGCGUUAAUCGGAAUUACUGGGCGUAAAGCGCGCGUAGGCGGCUUUGCAAGUCGGGUGUGAAAUCCCCAGGCCUAACCUGGGAACUGCAUUCGAGACUGCAUGGCUAGAGUAUCGGAGAGGGAAGUGGAAUUCCCAGUGUAGCGGUGAAAUGCGUAGAUAUUGGGAGGAACACCAGUGGCGAAGGCGGCUCACUGGACCGGUACUGACGCUGAUGCGCGAAAGCGUGGGGAGCAAACAGG
rnacentral:rRNA from 1 species